AUCAGCCAUGCCGCGUGAGUGAUGAAGGCCUUAGGGUUGUAAAGCUCUUUCACCGAUGAAGAUAAUGACGGUAUUCGGAGAAGAAGCCCCGGCUAACUUCGUGCCAGCAGCCGCGGUAAUUAUCCGGGGGCUAGCGUUGUUCGGAAUUACU
rnacentral:rRNA from 1 species